GCUGGCAGGGUCACAACCAGCGCAGACUGGCAUAGACCAGGCAUCUCUGGGCGAGUAUCUCUUUGAGCACCUCACUGUCAAGCAUGACUAGGAGGCCUCUGAGCCUUCC
rnacentral:pre_miRNA from 14 species